rnacentral:misc_RNA from 1 species
GGCAAGGUGAUAUAUUUUUUUUGCUUAACAACUUUUUCCAUCAGAGAGAAUUAGAGAAGUAUAGAUUCAAAUUUGAGUUUAUCAAAUGACUAAUAUAUUUUUAAAUGUUAAAUCAAAUUAUAGUAAGUUAUUAUUAAAUAAUUUUUUUUAUUACCUUAUGGAUGUGAGGUAAAUUUACCAUUCAUAGGCUAAGUUUAAAUCCAAAACAUCCUUUAAGGAUUUCUAAAGAAUGGUUAGUGAAAUAUGAACAAAGAUCUAAUUUCCUUUGCAUAUUCAGAAAAUCUUCUUUGAAGCGUAUUGUAUAAAUAUCAAAAUGAAAAAUUAAAAUUUUUAAACUUAUUUUCUUAAUUUACAAAUUCAACUUACAAUCUUAAAAUUAUUAUAAAUAAAUAAAUUAAUAUAUAUUCACAAUUUAUAAAUUGAUAAAAU